GCGAACGCUAGCGGAUGGCUUAACACAUGCAAGUCGAGCGGGUAGCAAUACCAGCGGCGAACGGGUGCGUAACACGUAGGUAAUCUGCCUUUUGGUGGGGAAUAACACAACGAAAGUCGUGCUAAUACCGCAUAUGGCCCAAGGGUCAAAGCAGCAAUGCGCCAAGAGAUGAGCCUGCGGCCCAUUAUUUAAUCCUAGUUGGCGGGGUAACGGCCCACCAAGGGUACGAUGGGUAGCUGGUCUGAGAGGACGAUCAGCCACACUGGGACUGAGACACGGCCCAGACUCCUACGGGAGGCAGCAGUGGGGAAUAUUGCGCAAUGGGCGAAAGCCUGACGCAGCCAAUCCGCGUGGGUGAUGAAGGCCUUCGGGUUGUAAAGCCCUGUCGUAGGGGACGAAUCAAUGACGGUACCCUACAAGAAAGCACCGGCUAACCCCGU
rnacentral:rRNA from 1 species